rnacentral:lncRNA from 1 species
CAUGCGAUUGUUGGGAAUUCACUCACUUUUUAAAACAGGAGCUGGCGGAAAGGCUGCACGCGUUUGGGCAUCUGAGCGCAUUUGGGCAUCUGGGCCACGGCCCCCUGUUUAUUUUCACUACAAAAGGUUCCUUGAGAGGCCCCUUGCCUAUUAGUGCCAGCUCUGGGCUUCCCAGGGUGAAGUGUUGGAUGAAUCAUGGCCUCCUUGGUGGGGAAGGAAGGAUGUCCUGAGUUGGGAGCACAGACAUCCAGGCCUCCCAGGACAGACAGACACAAACAUGAACAGCAGACAGGCCAGCGUGAGCCGAUUCUGCCUGGCUUAGUCGUGCAUGAAAGGAACCCUAAACUGGUACAAAAGUGGACCUGCAGGCCAUCCAGGGAGUGACCAUCGUAAAAACACAAUAGCCAGUGCCACUCUGUGUACUUCCAUAGUCGACCGCGCCAGCAGGAGGCCUCGGAGGAUCCUGUCCGGGCCCAUAGAUGUUUGCUAGCGGGACAAGCUUGGAACUCUUAAAACGCCUAGAUGACGUGUCCAAC